AAAAGGUUCUUCAAGCUUUUAUUUUUAUUUACUUUUAUGCCCUCUGUAUUUAUUCAUGAAUCAUCCUGAAGUAGACUAAAAUUUUCCCAAUGAUAUCUGUAGCUUCUAGAUUAUUUCAAUUUAAAUGGAAGAGAAAUCUCAAAGUUUCAUGUUACAAUAUAUCAAUCAAUGUUCCCAUUUUUGCUUUUGCUGGUGCAAAUUUCACCUUUAUCAUGAUCUAUCACUUCAUUUACAUCCUCUUCCAUGCUGUAUGGUCUUUGCUUAGGCAAAUACAGAAGAAGAGCUCCCAGAAUUUCUUCUAGGUACUUGUCGCCUGAACCAUCUGGAUGCGGCAAAAGCAGUUCUACUGAAGCCAUCAUCACGAUUAUCUUCUUCCUCGCAAGGUCCAGUUAGAAAUUAGUUCAUAUACAAACAACAGUCAACAGGAAUCGAGCUAUGUGUUUGCAAAAACGAUUCUUUGAUUCAAUCAAAGUUGAAACUGGCACCUGGCAGCGGCAGCAGCAUAUCUUAUGCUGCCAUGGUUAAUCAAGCUCUGUACAGAUAUGUCUUCAAUAGUGCACUAUUUUUCAUACAGAUUAUAUACUUAGUUUAUUUUAUGAUUGCCAUGAAUCCAAGAUCUUCAUCCCCGCAUCUGAUAGCAAAAAGUGAGAAAAGAAUGAUAAAAUAAACAAUUUGGUAAGUGGGGUACAGGAUAGGUCCCUUGAGGACUUCCACUACGAGAAUAGAAUACUAGGUCAAUGAUGACAAUUGGAAUGCCAGGGUGUCGCCACCCUUUUGACUCUGCCUGAAACAACUGAAAAAAUGCG
rnacentral:lncRNA from 1 species